UACGAAGGGGGCUAGCGUUGCUCGGAAUGACUGGGCGUAAAGGGCGUCGUAGGCGGCUGUGACGAGUCAGAUGUGAAAUUCCUGGGCUCAACCUGGGGGCUGCAUUGAUACGUGAUGGCUGGAGUGGGGAAGAGGGUCGGUGGAAUUCCCAGUGUAGAGGUGAAAUUCGUAGAUAUUGGGAAGAACACCGGUGGCGAAGGCGGCGACCUGGUCCUUGACUGACGCUGAGGCGCGAAAGCGUGGGGAGCAAACAGG
rnacentral:rRNA from 1 species